rnacentral:lncRNA from 1 species
GUGGUUACCGAAAAUAGCUUUCCCAGUUCGAGAUUGAAGCUAGACUGCUGAUCCCGCACCAUUGGAUGUGGCGAUUCGGUGUGGGGUGUAAAAAGCCCAGUUGAGGUAAUCGCCGGCAUCUUUUCUUUUAAUUGUUUGUUCUUUUAUUUUAUAUUCUCAAGCACAGUAUUAGGUUGUCUGAAUGACAUCAAGUAGUUGAGAUUUAUUUUAUUGAUGUUUUAUUUAUUUUUGGAAUUUCUAUUGUUUGUAAUAAGACCACCUGUGAGUGAUCUUGUUGCCAAAAUUAUAAGGGGUGAUUAUUAUUUAAAAAAAAAAAUGUAUGUCCUCAUCAUAAGAUUACAUAGGUCUUUCUUUCUAAAGUGUAUUUCGUAUGGAG